ACCAUUGCAGCUUCAUUGUUAUACUCUGGGUAGAUGGGAUCUUAUCUCUGUAUGCAUAACUUGGGACUUACCUUUAGCAUUAUACUAAAGCUCAAUCAUUCUUGA
rnacentral:sRNA from 1 species